rnacentral:rRNA from 1 species
AUUGAACGCUGGCGGCAUGCCUUACACAUGCAAGUCGAACGGCAGCACGGGGGCAACCCUGGUGGCGAGUGGCGAACGGGUGAGUAAUACAUCGGAACGUGUCCUUUUGUGGGGGAUAACCAGUCGAAAGACUGGCUAAUACCGCAUGAGAUCUCACGAUGAAAGCGAGGGACCGCAAGGCCUCGCGCGAUUGGAGCGGCCGAUGUCGGAUUAGCUAGUUGGCGGGGUAAAAGCCCACCAAGGCGACGAUCCGUAGCUGGUUUGAGAGAACGACCAGCCAGACUGGGACUGAGACACGGCCCAGACUCCUACGGGAGGCAGCAGUGGGGAAUUUUGGACAAUGGGCGCAAGCCUGAUCCAGCCAUGCCGCGUGAGUGAAGAAGGCCUUCGGGUUGUAAAGCUCUUUCGGCCGGGACGAAAUCGGGCAGGUGAAUAAUCUGCCUGGAUGACGGUACUGGAAGAAGAAGCACCGGCUAACUACGUGCCAGCCGCCGCUGUAAGAC